rnacentral:rRNA from 1 species
UACGUAGGUGGCAAGCGUUGUCCGGAAUCACUGGGCGUAAAGGGCGCGUAGGUGGCGACCCAAGUCAACGGUGAAAGCUCGACGCUCAACGUCGAGUCGGCCGUCGAUACUGGGUUGCUCGAGCACUGUAGAGGCAGAUGGAAUUCCGGGUGUAGCGGUGGAAUGCGUAGAGAUCCGGAAGAACACCGGUGGCGAAGGCGGUCUGCUGGGCAGUAGCUGACACUGAGGCGCGACAGCGUGGGGAGCAAACAGG